CUGGCGGCGUGCCUAACACAUGCAAGUCGAACGAGAAAGGGGAGCAAUCCCUGAGUAAAGUGGCGACCGGGUGAGUAACACGUGACUAACCUGCCUUCGAGUGGGGGAUAACCUCGGGAAACCGGGGCUAAUACCGCAUAAUGCCGAGAGGUUAAAGGAGCAAUUCGCUUGAAGAGGGGGUCGCGGCUGAUUAGCUAGUUGGCGGGGUAACGGCCCACCAAGGCGAUGAUCGGUAGCCGGCCUGAGAGGGCGCACGGCCACACUGGAACUGAAACACGGUCCAGACUCCUACGGGAGGCAGCAGUGGGGAAUUUUGCGCAAUGGGGGAAACCCUGACGCAGCGACGCCGCGUGGAGGAUGAAGUCCCUUGGGACGUAAACUCCUUUCGACCGGGACGAUAAUGACGGUACCGGUGGAAGAAGCCCCGGCUAACUUCGUGCCAGCAGCCGCGGUAAUACGAGGGGGGC
rnacentral:rRNA from 1 species